rnacentral:rRNA from 1 species
UGGGGGAUAUUGCACAAUGGGCGCAAGCCUGAUGCAGCGACGCCGCGUGGGGGAUGAAGGCCUUCGGGUUGUAAACUUCUUUUGCUCUGAACAAGGCGCACUUUGGGGUGUGUUGAGUGUAGGGGUUGAUUAGCGCCGGCUAACUACGUGCCAGCAGCCGCGGUAAUACGUAGGGCGCGAGCGUUGUCCGGAAUUAUUGGGCGUAAAGGGCUUGUAGGUGGCUGGUUGCGUCUGUCGUGAAAGCUCAUGGCUUAACUGUGGGUUUGCGGUGGGUACGGGCUGGCUUGAGUGCAGUAGGGGAUGCUGGAAUUCCUGGUGUAGCGGUGGAAUGCGCAGAUAUCAGGAGGAAUACCGGUGGCGAAGGCGGGUCUCUGGGCUGUUACUGACACUGAGGAGCGAAAGCAUGGGGAGCGAACAGG